AAAGGUGAAAAGCACCCCGGGAGGGGAGUGAAAAAGAACCUGAAACCCUGUGCCUACAAGCACCUAGAGCACGUCAAUGUGUGAUAGGGUACUUUUUGUAGAACGGUCCGGCGAGCGAUUGUAUGCAGCAAGGUUAAGGACUUAAGGUCUGGAGCCGAAGCGAAAGCGAGUUUGAAAAGGGCGUUAAGUUGCAUAUAAUGGGCCCGAAACCGGGUGACCUACCCAUGGUCAGGUUGAAGUGGAAGUAAAAUUCCAUGGAGGACCGAACCGACCUCCGUUGAAAAGGCGGCGGAUGAACUGUGGGUAGCGGAGAAAUUCCAAUCGAACCCGGAGAUAGCUGGUUCUCCCCGAAAUAGUUUUAGGACUAGCCUCAAGUUAGAUACCUGGAGGUAAAGCACUGAAUAGCCUAGCGGCCGAGAGGUUAGCGAAGCUUAUCAAACUCAGAAUGCCAGAGUAUUGAUGCUUGGGAGUCAGACAGUGUCAGAUAAAUGUCAUUGUCAAAAGGGAAACAGCCCAGAUCUACAGCUAAGGUCCCAAAUUGUAUCUAAGUGGAAAACGAUGUGAAGAUACGCAGACAACCAGGAUGUUGGCUCAGAAGCAGCCACUCAUUCAAAGAGUGCGUAAUAGCUCACUGGUCGAGCGUCUUUGCGCGGAGAAUUUAACGGGGCUAAACCUGACACCGAAGCUUAGGCAAUCCAGUAAUGGAUUGGGUAGGGGAGCGUUGUAUACGCGGAGAAACAGUAGCGUAAGCGGCUGUGGAGUGUAUAGAAGUGAGAAUGCCGGAAUGAGUAGCGCGAAUGCAGUGAGAAUCUGCAUGGCCGAAAGCCUCAGGUUUUUGGAGGAAGGUUCGUCCGCUCCAAGUUAGUCGGGAGCUAAGGUGAGGCCGGAAGGCGUAGCCGAUGCACAGACGGUAGAGAUUCCGUCACCACCAAAAGAGUUAAGCACAGGGACACAUUUGAAGUCUCAGAGCCGGGUGUUGGUUCCGGUAGAGAUCGAGGGAAGUUAGUACCGAAGUCUGAGAUGGAAGAUGGCGAGAAAAGCUGUGUGUAUUUCUGAGGUGCCCGUACCGCAAACCGACACAGGUAGGUAGGAAGAAGAUUCUAAGGCCAACGGGAGAAGGGUUGUUAAGGAACUCGGCAAAUUGACCCCGUAACUUCGGGAGAAGGGGUGCUCCAGAGAUGGAGCCGCAGAGAAUCGGCCCAAGCAACUGUUUACCAAAAACACAGGUUUGUGCUAAAUCGAAAGAUGACGUAUACGAGCUGACGCCUGCCCGGUGCUGGAAGGUUAAGAGGAGAUGUGCAAGCAUUGAAUCGAAGCCCCAGUGAACGGCGGCCGUAACUAUAACGGUCCUAAGGUAGCGAAAUUCCUUGUCAGGUAAGUUCUGACCCGCACGAAUGGCGUAACGACUUGGGCGCUGUCUCAACAGCCCACCCGGCGAAAUUGUAGUACUGGUGAAGAUGCCAGUUACCCGCAACUAGACGGAAAGACCCCAUGGAGCUUUACUGUAGCUUAAUACUGGAAAUCGGUAAAUCAUGUACAGGAUAGGUGGGAGACUUGGAAGCCAGGGCGUCAGCUUUGGUGGAGUCACCCUUGGGAUACCACCCUUGAUUUGCUGGUUUUCUAACCUGCGGCCGUGAAUCCGGUCGGGGGACACUGUUAGGUGGGCAGUUUGACUGGGGCGGUCGCCUCCUAAAAGGUAACGGAGGCG
rnacentral:rRNA from 1 species